ACACUCUGGUUUUUCUUCAGAUUGAGUAAAUCUUUUGCCUUUUACUAAAGAUUUUCAUGGAGAGAAAUCUUUAUGAGUUGGUUAUCAAAUUUUUUUCAGGUCUUAAGUAAGGCUA